rnacentral:rRNA from 1 species
AUGACCAACGCUAAAGUAGCUGGAGUGUUAAGCCUCCUAGUCCUUGUGGCUAUCUCUUCUUGUCCACGCCAUGCACGAGCAGGCCAUGCGGUAGAUCACUGCCUCAUUGAUAAAAAGAAGGUGAUGCGGGACUGUUGGCAUAACAUUGAAAAGAACUUUGGUGACCCGUUCCCGUCACACGGGAGCAUAUGUUGUGAUACAAUAAGAGAUUCAAAAGACAUCCACUGCGUCUGUGAUCGGUUCACCGCUGACGAACUGACUGUGAUCAGUCUAUCCAAGUUUGCUACGGUUACACAUAAAUGCGGCAACGGGUUGCACGCACACACUCAUUAUGCAGGUU